GAUGAACGCUGGCGGCAUGCCUAACACAUGCAAGUCGAACGAAGCAUUGUCAACAGAAGCUUCGGCCGAAGUUGACUUUGACUUAGUGGCGGACGGGUGAGUAACGCGUGAGUAAUCUGCCUUAGAGUGGGGGAUAACGCUCCGAAAGGAACGCUAAUACCGCAUAACAUAACCGGAUCGCAUGAUCUGGUUAUCAAAGAUUUAUUGCUUUAAGAUGAGCUCGCGUAUGAUUAGCUAGUUGGUGAGGUAACGGCUCACCAAGGCGACGAUCAUUAGCCGGACUGAGAGGUUGAACGGCCACAUUGGGACUGAGACACGGCCCAGACUCCUACGGGAGGCAGCAGUGGGGAAUAUUGCGCAAUGGGGGAAACCCUGACGCAGCAAUGCCGCGUGAAGGAUGAAGGUUUUCGGAUUGUAAACUUCUUUACUGAGGACGAAACAAAUGACGGUACUCAGAGAAUAAGCCACGGCUAACUACGUGCCAG
rnacentral:rRNA from 1 species